rnacentral:lncRNA from 1 species
AUUUUAUUCACAACUAUACCUGAACAGGCUUAACAACUGAGUCGACAAAAAUUGCUUGCUUUUAGUAACAUAACUUUAGAAUAGGUACAAGUUAAAGGAGUUACUGAACUGGCACACCGUGUCACAAAAUCUUCUUGAGAACAUGAAGUCAAAACAAUUGCUCUCUGAUUCCCACAGUAGGCAAUGCCCUCUGAAAGCAUUCCUGCAUCUUUUCAGCACAACAUUCUUCACUUUUGGCUGCCCUGAGUUAUGGACUUCAACUUUAAAAGCAUUAAACUGAUUUUCAUCUGUGACAUAUUAUGUUGACUUUGUUGAGAACACUAUUAGGCUGCUGCUACUUGAAAUCUUCACCAAAAACUCUCCGAGUUUGUUUUAAUGUCACUUUUGACACACUGACAAAGCCAGAAAUACCCAGUGUUCUGUAAGAGCUAAGUGUUAUGGAUAGAGUAGAUCUUAAGAGCUGAAAGCACUCAGUACUUGGAUGCAGUUCCUGGAAAAGCUUCAGGAAGCUUUCAUUAACGGUGUUAGAUGAGUAGGUAACACAACUUUUCUAUUAUACAGUUAUUAAGCUGACCUUUCAGUACCUGCAGAAGCUUUGAACAUCUGUAAAAUACUUUUUGUAAAAGUGAACUACCAAUUCGGACUAUUACAAGGUGACUAGAUCAUAUUUUUCUUCUGGAGGAACAGGUGCAUUGUGUUCUGAGUGUUUGUACACUGCAGCUAAACCAGCCUGGAGGCUGCACUGACCUCUGCUGAAGUUCAGCACUGCAGGGCAGUGUAUAAAUGGUCUGUUCUGGGACAAAUGUUUAAAGCUGAGGUAACUCCUCUCUGAACUUCACAUACUAGAUGGGAGCCAAAUCAGCAGUCUGAAUUCUUCUUCAAUUUUCUUCUCACUCCUAGUCUAAUAAAAGUACAGCCCUAACAUCUGAAAUAUUGUUCUUUUCUUCCAAAACUGCAUUUGAAUAUACUGCUGCUAAUAUAGAGCUACUGAAAAUUAUGAAAUUCAUAAUUAUUAUCUAAACAGAAGCCAGUCAAUGGCAACAAUAAGAAUACUUCAACACUAUUGACAGAGCUCAAAAAAAAAAAAAAAAAAAAAGGCAGGAGAAAGAGUUUGUUGGAACAUGAGAGACCAUGAACUGCAGAGUUUUGUCCAGGCUACUGACUAUUCAGCAGUACCUUGCCUUUGUAGGCUUUCUCUGUAUGACCAUAUAGUGUAAAAAAGCAAAGCCACAAAAGCCAAAUAAAAUACAACCAAACCAACCCCACAUGUAGAAAAAUCUCUGGGGAGAAAAAGAUUCAUACCUAUCUCUCAGUGAAAAGCACCUAUUACUUACAAACACUGUGAGGAACAAAAUUCUCCAUCCAGGAAGCAAACAACUAUACCUCGGGGGUGGAAGAAAUAGAUGAUAUCUGCACAUGUAAAUCUCAGUCUUUAGCCAUCAGUGUUUCCAGAGAUGUCCCGAUUAAUCAAACUGCAUAAUUAGGUGUUUUAAGUGUCCCUACUAUAUCAAUUACCUUUACGAUGGCUUGUAAAGUGGUUCAGUUUUAACUGUGACUGGAUAGAGGCUUGACUGUGCUGAUAAUCCAGAUAUGCUUUGGGAAUUAGUGUGUACCAGUUGAUUAGAUUAAGAGAUAAAGAGAGAAUUAGGAACCACUUGCCAUAGCUUCAUCAAUGUAGGCUUCUGUCACAGGCUUUGCUGGAACAGACUACCCAAAUUCUGAAGAGACAGAUGAUAAAGGCAAGAGUGUUCCUUUGCUCUUUAGGUUGA